GAAACAAGAGAGAUUUAAAUGAAUGACAGGAUGCCACAUCUGGCAUAUGUAGUAGGAGGCAUUGAAUGUAGCCAAAGGAGUGUUUAUCUUUUUCCAUAGACAUAAGGGAAGUUUUGCUGGGGAAUGACGGUGUGAGAGGUCUGCUCUAGGAUCCUUCUUCUGUAAUAGACAUUGUUGUCUUGUGACAUCACGGAGACUGUUUUGGUAUCUUUGUUCUCCAAGGUGCCCAGGUCUUCUACCUUCUAAAUCUUCCCCAAAUUCCUGUCUCUGAAUCCUGUAUCAUUUUAUGUCCUCAUUCUUCCAAAAUCAUUGCCCUCCUUUACAAUGUUGCUGAUCCACUUGCUUUUCAUGUUUUUAGUCUAAUCCUAAGAAUGGAAGACUGGGUACUUCUCCCAGUCUUUAGUUCAAACCAGAAACAUUGAGUGGAUACUUCUGCUAAAGGACUGACCACCACCUCCAUACCCUGGAUCUCUCUCCCCUGUAUACAUUACCUGAUGUGCUUAACCAAAUCAUGUGUUAAAUUUAUAGCCUUGUAGGAUGUUCCAGGUUAUUCUGGGGUCCCACAAAUUGUAUUUUUGAAGUGGCUGCUAAGGUAGAACCCCUUCUUGAUUCUAGCCUUUCUUUGCUUCUUUCAUGCACUGUUCUGAAAAAGCUCAUCAGUGUCUGCUCAUAACAUUCUCAAUCAAUUCACUUAGAUUUAGCUGCCACUUCUAUUGAACCUGCAGUUUCCUUCAAUGAGAUGUGUGUGUGUGUAUGUGUGUGUGUGUGUGUGUGUGUGUGUGUGUGUGUGUGUGUGUGUGUUUAGGGUGGUCAUGGGGGAGGAAGGGUCAAAAGAGGCUUGAAUGAUAGUGUUAGAUGGGAAAUUUUGGACAAAGGAAAAGCAGAAAGUAUAAAUUCCCUUAGGUUGAUUUAAAAAAAAUGGUUAGUUGCAAGGCCUCAACUCAGGGCCUCAGUGCUGUCUCUCAGUUCU